CAGCCGCCGCGGUAAUACGGAGGGUGCAAGCGUUAAUCGGAAUUACUGGGCGUAAAGCGCACGCAGGCGGUCUGUCAAGUCAGAUGUGAAAUCCCCGGGCUCAACCUGGGAACUGCAUUUGUGACUGGCAAGCUAGAGUGUGGCAGAGGGGGGUGGAAUUCCGCGUGUAGCAGUGAAAUGCGUAGAUAUGCGGAGGAACACCGAUGGCGAAGGCAGCCCCCUGGGCCAACACUGACGCUCAUGCACGAAAGCGUGGGGAGCGAACAGGAUUAGAUACCCCGGUAGUCCCUGUCUCUUAUAC
rnacentral:rRNA from 1 species